rnacentral:rRNA from 1 species
AGUGGCGGACGGGUGAGUAACGCGUAAGAAUCUAACUUCAGGACGGGGACAACAGUUGGAAACGACUGCUAAUACCCGAUGUGCCGCAAGGUGAAACCUACUUGGCCUGGAGAAGAGCUUGCGUCUGAUUAGCUAGUUGGUGGGGUAAAGGCCUACCAAGGCGACGAUCAGUAGCUGGUCUGAGAGGAUGAGCAGCCACACUGGGACUGAGACACGGCCCAGACUCCUACGGGAGGCAGCAGUGGGGAAUUUUCCGCAAUGGGCGAAAGCCUGACGGAGCAACGCCGCGUGAGGGAGGAAGGUCUUUGGAUUGUAAACCUCUUUUCUCAAGGAAGAAGUUCUGACGGUACUUGAGGAAUCAGCCUCGGCUAACUCCGUGCCAGCAGCCGCGGUAAUACGGGGGAGGCAAGCGUUAUCCGGAAUUAUUGGGCGUAAAGCGUCCGCAGGUGGUCAGCCAAGUCUGCCGUCAAAUCAGGUUGCUUAACGACCUAAAGGCGGUGGAAACUGGCAGACUAGAGAGCAGUAGGGGUAGCAGGAAUUCCCAGUGUAGCGGUGAAAUGCGUAGAGAUUGGGAAGAACAUCGGUGGCGAAAGCGUGCUACUGGGCUGUAUCUGACACUCAGGGACGAAAGCUAGGGGAGCGAAAGGGAUUAGAUACCCCUGUAGUCCUAGCCGUAAACGAUGGAUACUAGGCGUGGCUU